rnacentral:lncRNA from 1 species
CCAUGGCAACCGAUCUUCAUCCGAGCUUCUACAAUAAGCGACCUCCUUUCAGACUCCUGCAAGAACCGGACUCCAUCCGAACUUCUACAAUAGAAUUGAAUUUCAGACUCCAUCAGUGGUCGAUCUUCCACAUGUCCUCAAGACUCCUCCAGCGGAUGAACUUCCACAACGCCUUCUGAACUCCACUAUCGGUCGACCUUCUGCUGGAUUCCUCAUAAAAUCAAACCUCUCCAGCAGACAGUCUUUAGAUGAGCUUCUACACUAGAUAAAUUCCAGACGGACUUCUCUAACAAUCAGACUUCUGCUGGACU